rnacentral:lncRNA from 1 species
AUCCCAUCUUGGAGUGCUUCCUCAGAAAAGGCAGGAAGUGCUUUGAAAAAGCUGCCUUGUCUUGGCGCUGAAACUCUCUGAGACACAGUUCAAGUGCACAAGGAAAACUUGUUGAACGCUCCUGCCCUACCGCCUGGCUAGGAUCUUGUGCUUUAUUUACGGCUUUCCUUAUUACAUCAAGUCCAGGACGCAGCUCAUCUACGAUUCCACCUUCUCUAGGCAAGAGCUAAUAUUUUGACUCCUCAGACAUAUCGGCCCUACUUAGUCUCAGCACUGCUUGGCCAUGAAAUUCCAUAUGGAUUUUGGGAUAUUUCUCUGCACUUUUUAAGGCCCCUGAUGAUGACAAGAUUCAAGGCUACCCCAGUGUGGUAUUUCCUGCAUUGCUGUAGUGCCUGUACCAAUGACCUUUGCCAUAACAACUGA